UCCCCUUCUAAGGCGGCGCUAACUUCCUCCUCCUCGGGGCACUUGCGUAUCGACCCUUUUCUUGUGUGCUCUGAUGUGCUGUCUACUACUGUGUGUAGUGGCCUGCCCUGCCCCUGCCCUGCUCUUGAUGCAGCUCCACCCCCCUCUCCCUCCGUGCUCGCUCCUCUCCUUCUCCAUCUCUUGCGUUUCGCUUGCCUUCUCCACGCUCUCCUGCUUAGCACCAUGGCUGACUCCCUUAAGCACUCUGCCUCCUCCUCCUCCUCCGCGCUGUCGUCUCAACAUCCUCGCCUGCUCCAAGCCCAUGACCUCCUCCGCAAAGCCGAAAAGCUGUGAUUUCCUCACCCCUGCCCUUCCCCUCUGCCUCUUCCUGCCUCUCCCCUUGCCUGUACUCACUUCGUGUUAUUCUCGCUUGUCUGCUUUCGCAGGACUAAACUUAGCCUCUUCAAUUGGUCGUCUGACUGGGUCGCCGCGACACCCCUAUACGAGCAAGCAGCAACUGCAUUUAAGUUGGCAAAAGUACCCGAUACAGCGAAGUUAUGCUACGAAAAAGCUGCUACAGGUCAAGAAAGACUAUCAUCAUUGUGCCAGACCGUGGACUGCAGGAAAGCACAUGGAGUCGGCAGGUCAACUAGCUAAAGAGCUUGGUCUUAUUGAUGAAGCCGUUGAUUCAUACAGAAGAGCUAGCGAGCUUUUUCUGCAUUGCGGGAAAGUACAGCCAAGUGCUGAUGUGCUUAGCAGAGGGCAGUGGAAGAUGAGAGGUCGGAAAUUGCAGUCAGGAUGUACUUGGAUGCUUGUGCGAUGCUUGAGGAAGAUGGUCGCGAACAGAUGGCCUUCGAUAAUUACCGCGCAGCAGUCAAUCUCUACGUCAAGCUCAACAGGUUUAAAGACGCGGCAGCAGUGCUUGUUAGAUGGGGCCAGUCAGCUGAUAAAUGUCAUGCCACUCAGAGCCAGUGCAAAGCAUACCUUAGUGCAGUCAUUGUUCACUUAUAUGACGAAGAUCUGAAGCAAGCACAACAGUGCUACAACGAUUGUUCUCAGGUUAAUGCGUUUUCCAGAAGUGACCAGAGCGAAACUGCUGAAAAGCUUUUAUCAGCAUAUUGUGAGGGAAACCCAGAUGAAAUAAGGCAUGUUGUGAGCUCAAGUCAUAUCAUUACUCAUUUAGAUCACACGAUUGUAAGGUUGGCUAAGCAGUUGCCAAAGGGUGAUGUUAAAGCUGCAAGUGUCGUGGAACCAGGUGAUGACGAGUUGAAUGAAGAGGAUCUGACAUAAGGUCAGUUUCAUCGAGCCCUAACAUAAGCAAAUUUUCAAGCACCGGUUUCAGUAGUUCGUGAGAUGUGGUUCUUUUGGGUUUAUUGUGCAACUGUACCGAACAAGUAUUUAAUUGUGACAAGAAAUGUGCCAUCAUCGUACCAUUAGAAUUUCGUUGUCUAGUUUUAAAAAACUUAUUUUUCCUUCGUGUAGAACCUAAUCAGCUUCUUAAAGCAUUCUUUGGUGAAACAUCUUUGUGAAGUGUCGCGUCCCCUUUUGCAGCAUGGUUUGAAGUCUGCUAAUGUAUUUCUCGAGUCUUGCAUUUGUGAUAGCUUGACCUCAAGAAGACCGUGCUUUUUCUACAACAUCAAUGUAAGGACCUAUUCUCUGACCGUCCAUUUAAUUAUGCAUGAUAUACCUCAAGGAAAAAUAUCCAAUCCAGAAUAGCACAGAAUCAAGGAGACUUCUUUCAAAUAGCAGUAUCAGUGCGGCAAGGCUGUCGAUUGGAUAUGCACUUUAUUCACUCGAAAUCUUUCGUUACUACAAGUUUUGAAAUCAAAAGUGUCGGGGCACCUUGGUAACAGCCAAUUCCACGAACCAGAGAAUGUAGCAUCUUCCUCUUAUGUUGAGGAAAUACAUAUUUUGAUGUACUUGCUGUGGUCGUAUUUACAUCUCGGCUUAGUUAUUCUUUUGAACUGGGAUACCUAUAUGUUUUUUGCGAGGAGCAGUUCAUUGAAUUUCUGUGAUAUAAAAUUUCAAGCGUGUACAAUGA